CCUACGGGCGGCAGCAGUGGGGAAUAUUGCACAAUGGGCGCAAGCCUGAUGCAGCCAUGCCGCGUGUGUGAAGAAGGCCUUCGGGUUGUAAAGCACUUUCAGCGGGGAGGAAGGCGGUGAGGUUAAUAACCUCAUCGAUUGACGUUACCCGCAGAAGAAGCACCGGCUAACUCCGUGCCAGCAGCCGCGGUAAUACGGAGGGUGCAAGCGUUAAUCGGAAUUACUGGGCGUAAAGCGCACGCAGGCGGUCUGUCAAGUCGGAUGUGAAAUCCCCGGGCUCAACCUGGGAACUGCAUUCGAAACUGGCAGGCUAGAGUCUUGUAGAGGGGGGUAGAAUUCCAGGUGUAGCGGUGAAAUGCGUAGAGAUCUGGAGGAAUACCGGUGGCGAAGGCGGCCCCCUGGACAAAGACUGACGCUCAGGUGCGAAAGCGUGGGAGCAAACAGGAUUAGAUACCCCGGUAGUC
rnacentral:rRNA from 1 species